GGAGAGGUGGCCGAGUGGUCGAAGGCGAUUGAUUCGAAAUCAAUUGUCCUCUUUUAGGGGACCGAGGGUUCGAAUCCCUCCCUCUCCU
rnacentral:tRNA from 2 species